CUACGGAGGGGGUUAGCGUUGUUCGGAAUUACUGGGCGUAAAGCGCACGUAGGCGGAUUGGAAAGUUGGGGGUGAAAUCCCAGGGCUCAACCCUGGAACUGCCUCCAAAACUAACAGUCUAGAGUUCGAGAGAGGUGAGUGGAAUUCCAAGUGUAGAGGUGAAAUUCGUAGAUAUUUGGAGGAACACCAGUGGCGAAGGCGGCUCACUGGCUCGAUACUGACGCUGAGGUGCGAAAGCGUGGGGAGCAAACAGAAUUAGAAACCCCAGUAGUCC
rnacentral:rRNA from 1 species